AACGGUAGGUGUGUGGUGAGAGUUCACGUUUUAGAGACGUUGUGAAGCCAUCCCAAGAUUGGCAACUGGGGAACUUGUAUGGAGAGUCGGUCUGUCUGAACCCUGGUUUGAUAGGUCCCUCGCCGACUCCCGCAAUCCCCGCCAGAGCACGUUGGUCCCAGUCUCUCUUCGCUCUUCACCUGCCCGGCCUUUGGCGGGACUCCUCGCUUUUCCGGCUCCGGCGCGGACUUCCUCCAGGUGCUGUGUGACGGCUUCCAGGACUCGACCUGGGAGGUGAUGAGGUGCGCUCCGGUGCGUCUGAGCGGGCGCCGGGGGCGAGUCCAGUCGCUUCAGCACUCCCCUCUCAUGGCUCGUUUGUUGAGAAAAGUUGGUGAGUUCUAGUCGGUAGGAAAGUCUUCAAGUUUCCGCACGGUCAAGCCUUCAGACUUCGACCAAAACAUCAGCUCUUCUUGGAUCUUGAGCCUGCCAACUUUCAGACUGGAACUUAUACCAUCGGUGUCCUGGUUCUCAGGCUUUUGAACUCAGACUGGAACUAAACAUUGGUUCUCCUAAGUCAUCAGCUUGCGGACUGCAGAUCUUGGGACUUCUCAGCCUCUCUAAUCAUCCCUAACCCCCAAUGUGAUGGUGAAGAAGAGAUACCAGAGAGCACUUUCCGCCCACCCCGUGAGGACAGAGUGAGAAUGAGAAGGUGGCUGUCUCCAAAUCAGGAAAAGGGAUUGCCAGAGCCUGAACAUGCUGGCACCCUGAUCUCAGACUUCCAGCCUCUAGAACUGUGAAAAAAUGAGUGUCUGUUGUUUAAGCCACCAAGUCUAUGGUAUUUCGUUAUAACAGCCCAAACUGACUUAAGACAGAACUUAUGGUAAGCCUCAGUGGAAAAAUCACAAUGCAGUCACUGGAACUUGAGCAAGGCCAUGCCAUCUGCAGCAGAGAAUUAUAUACGUUUUAAGAAACAGCUACUAAUGUGAUACUAGGCCUUGGAAGAAACCGAACACUUAACCGUGGGACUCCAAGUAGUCAUGUGUCCAAAACUGCCUGUUACGGCCUUGGUUCUUUUGGUGUUCAGAUGGACCCAGCAGCAUUUAUUGUAAGAUGGAAAUGGUGCAUCUGAGAUGGAGGUCAAGCACAACUGAGGUACUUGUAAGCUGCAUGACCAGGUAGUCCAGACCCCCAUGUCACCCACCACAACUGCACCAAUACCGUGACCAGCUGAAGGAGGGGUAAAGCCUGAGUUUGGUUUAUGGGUGAGUCAGCUUAAGAUGUGGAUGUAAGCCAAAGUUAAAUAGUGGCCGCAUUAUAGUCACAUACUUGAGAAGCUUUGAAAAAUAGUGGAGAGGAAAAAUCUUCCUAAUGGGUAGAGUUAGAAACAUUGUCCCUGGUCAUCUGGUUUGUGUAUAAGGAGAAACAGACUGAAGUAAGAAUAUAUAUAGAUUCUUGGGCAUGUGUCAAUGGCCUGGCCCGCUGGUAAGGGGCCGGGAAGAAAAAAGACUGGAAGACCAAAGACAAGAAGGUCUAGGGUAGAGUCUUGUGGGUGAAUAUACAUGAGUGGGCAUGAAGUGUGAAGAUUUUUGUAUCAUAUUUUGCACCCACUAGGGAAGAGGUACUAAACAAUUAAGUAGAGAAAAUAACUCAUGCAGUUGUCAUUACCAGCCUUAAUCAUUGGCUACCUUGGAACCAGCCUGAUGGGCACUGUUGUGGGUUAUAUUGUAUCCCCCCCAAAUUCAUACGUUAAAGUUCUAAUCCCCAAUACCUCAAAAUGUGACAUUUGGAAAUAGGGUUCUUGCUGUUGUAGUUAGUUAAAAUGACAUCAUACUGGAGUAGGAUGGGCCCCUAAUUCAAUGUGACUGGUAUCCUUAUAAACAGAAGGCCAUAUGAAGACAGAAAUAUGCAGAGGGAAUGCCAUGUGAAGAUAAAAACAGAGAUAGGGUGAUGCAGGAGAAGCCAAGGAACACCAAAGAAGCUAGGGGAGAAGCAUGGAACAGAUUUUCCCUCACAGCCCUCAGAAGGAACCAAGCCUACUGACACCUUGGUCUCAGACUUCUAGCUUCCAGAAU